rnacentral:misc_RNA from 1 species
GAUGAAGAACGCAGCGAAAUGCGAUAAGUAAUGUGAAUUGCAGAAUUCAGUGAAUCAUCGAAUCUUUGAACGCACAUUGCGCCCGCCAGCACUCUGGCGGGCAUGCCUGUUCGAGCGUCAUUUCAACCAUCAAGCCCCCAGGGGCUUGUGCUGGGGCCCUGCGGCUGCCCGCAGGCCCUGAAAACCAGUGGCGGGCUCGCUAGUCACACCGAGCGCAGUAGCACAUCUCGCUCAGGGCGUGCGGCGGGCUCCUGCCGUGAAACACCCCACUGUAACCCCAAAGGUUGACCUCGGAUCAGGUAGGAAUACCCGCUGAACUAAGCAUAUCAAUAAGCGGAGGA